rnacentral:rRNA from 1 species
UGGGGAAUCUUGCACAAUGGGCGAAAGCCUGAUGCAGCGACGCCGCGUGCGGGAAGAAGGCCUUCGGGUUGUAAACCGCUUUCAGCAGGGACGAGGCGAAAGUGACGGUACCUGCAGAAGAAGCCCCGGCUAACUACGUGCCAGCAGCCGCGGUAAUACGUAGGGGGCAAGCGUUAUCCGGAUUCAUUGGGCGUAAAGCGCUCGUAGGCGGUCUGUUAGGUCGGGAGUUAAAUCCGGAGGCUCAACCUCCGCCCGCUCCCGAUACCGGCAGACUUGAGUUUGGUAGGGGAAGGUGGAAUUCCUAGUGUAGCGGUGGAAUGCGCAGAUAUUAGGAAGAACACCAGUGGCGAAGGCGGCCUUCUGGGCCAUAACUGACGCUGAGGAGCGAAAGCUAGGGGAGCAAACAGGAUUAGAUACCCUGGUAGUCCUAGCUGUAAACGAUGGACACUAGGUGUGGGAGAAUACGUCUUCCGUGCCGCAGCUAACGCAUUAAGUGUCCCGCCUGGGGAGUACGGCCGCAAGGCUA